CUGCCCACGCCGUGUCCGCCCGAGCGCGCCCCGCCGCGCAGAACGCGGCGCUCGCUGUCCUGCGGCCGCCAGGAGCGACCUGUCCUGAGCGUGGCAUGGGCGAAAUCCCCUUGGCUCGGGCGGCGGCGCCCGGAACCAGCGAGCGGUGGCUGCAGCCAUCCUUUUCCCCAUGGGAGUCCUGGAAAGAGCACUGAGCAAUGAGGAUACUGCAGCUGGAGCGCUGGCAAUGGAGCGUCUGCAGGGAAUAUUGCCUGGGACAGCGUCUUAGCCCAGGUCUCGGGAGCUGUGUGCACAUUCCUCCCUGGAGCAGGGAACCCCCGUGAGGAGGAGCCAGAGAUGGGGACAUCGAACUAGAGACCAACUGAACUUCCUGGGAUAGCACAUAGAUGGUGCACUGGGACCUUGGGGUUCAUAGUAAGCAUUGCCAGAUGAUUCUGGGAGGUUGAACUGAAGUGAUCUCCUGACUGAGAGCUGCAUCUCCCCUUGCUGCUGGCAGAAGAGGCAGAGCUGGGACAGCACAGCUCCUCCAUUCCCUGAUUCUCCAAAAUCCCGUGUUUUUCUUCCCGGGACUGCUGCAGGCGUUGAUCCUGUGAGCUGCAGAUAAAGGCUGUGCUUAUUGCUGCACAGAGGCUGGUGUCACACUGGACCUGGUCCUUCAUCUGGGACGUUUUACUGAGGAUGUUGUUACAAGGGAAAUGGCCCUUUGUGCAGGAGGUUCUGCUGUGGCCCUUGUACCGGGACCUGAUACUUUAUAUGCUAUGUGCUACCGAGGAUGUUACAAACCUCUGAGCUUUCGUGUGGGAAGUUUUAUGGAAGAUGUUGUUACAAGCUAAAUGCUCCUUCAUGUGUGAAGUUUUGCUUCCUUGUCAAAAAGCCUUGGGAAUGCUCAGGAACACAGUGUGGGAUAUUUGACCUCUGAAAUGGGUCCUGGGUGGUGUAAAAUACCCAUUUUUUACUGGUUUGUGGUUUUUCUGCCCCUGGAGGAGAGUGAGGCUUAUGAGUCAGGUUGGUGUCUGAGAAGGGGAGGGUGUCCUGGCUUCCAGCAGUACUCCCACGGCUGCUGCUUUGGGAUGUGAUAUGGAACCCAGCAAUCUUCCUGCUCUGCAAACAUGGGAGGGAGUGGAACAGCAAGCAGCAAAGCUGGGCUUUGCUCCUUAAAUCCCACAACACCUGGGUUUAAGUUCUGUCAGCCAGAGGAGGGAAUGAACCCUGGUACCAGCAAUCCUGGGGGCACGGGACUGGUGUUACCAUCUUAUCUAUUGUCAUUGCAUGAUGUGAUUCUCCCUCCAUGAGAGAAGGCAGAAAACGAGCCAGGAGGGGAGAUGGUUUUGUUUCUGUGAACUCCAGACUUGGCGCAGCUGCAGAGUGCUUUGGUUUCAAAUAAUCCUGCCCAAACACAGUGAACUUGGACCUCUCUUGGGCACUUUUGGAUCCCUCUGUGCCACUCCUCCUCUGAUCCUUGGCCUACAAGGUGUGGGCUCAACACCUGCUCCUACUGGAAGGGUUCUUACACAUACAAAUUUAUUUUGUUAUAGAAUGAAAAUCUAUGGAAAAUGGGUGAUGGGUGCACUAGCCGAUAGUAGGUCUUGGGCUUUUCUUCUUGUUCUUCAACCUGCUCUUAAAAGGACACUUAAACUGGAAACUUGAGAAGGAGGGCGGGCAAAUAGCUUUUCAUGUUUUUAAGUAUUACUAUUUUGGUAUGUCAAGUGACACCACCAAAAUAAGAUUGGAGGAACUGAGCUGAAGGACUCCACACUUAAUUCUUUUAAUGUGUUUGUGUGGAAAUGCCAAAUCUCAAAACACUUCUGUGUCUGUAACAUUAAGUGCUAUCAAGCCAAGUGUUCGAUGUGGAGUUUACAAUAAUGGUUUUAUGAUUUAAAGGCUUUUCUCGUGCCCCAAAAGCCACAAGGAACCUGCCAGAAGUAGGCCUUCAUUGCAUAGCUGGGAUUGCAAUUUGCUCCUGGAUUCUUCCCUCAAAUUUUCUCUCAGGUUCCUGUGCCAGAGGGGGCUCUGACCCCAGAGCCAUACAGGGUCUGUAGUCUUGAUAAAUGUAAAUGUAAUUGGCCAAGUCUGUCAGGAAAGCAAAAACAUCCUGGGGUUUGUUUGGCCAAAGAUGGACCAUGAAGAUGUCUGCACUAGCAGUGGGGGUGAGUGCUGAUCCUUUUUGGGUUGUGUGUGGGUGCCUCUGGCCCCUCAGAAGUCAGGGCAAGGCUGAAGGAAGGAGGGAAGCUGCCACAGCUGCAGGUGAGGGCAGUAUUGGCUGUUCCAAACUACUUGGUGCAGAACUGCAAGAACAGCAAAAACAGCUUUCCUCCUUUCUCUCCAUCACUGGGCAGAAUAUUAAGAUGAAGCUGCACUUAGCUCUGUCUUUUAUGGGUUGUUCUGUGGUGGUUGGGGUUUUUUUUGCUUUUUAAUGUAUUUCCAAGUGGGGCAGUGAGGAGCAAGUUUCUGAUUCCAUGAUUUCUGACUGACCUGUCACAGAAAUGGUCAUGUGCAUCCACUUCCUGGCAAAUCCAGAUGUCACCUGGAAAUCCUAAGUGAGGAUUUCCAGCCUUGACUACAUGGGACACAGGCUUCUGAAAAUGGAACUAACCUUGGCAGAAGAGCAGCUGUAAAGGGAAGCAGAACAAAAACACAGGGAGAAGAACACAAACUCACAGCCAUACAGGCCUCACAGUCCCCUGCAGUGAGAGCUCAGCACACAUCCACAGAGACAAGUCCAGCAUCUGAAAGAAAACAAAGCAGAAGAAAAAGAGCUGCCCUUGAACACCAGCUGUGCCAGGAACCGGCAGAGAUUCCAAGGAAGCUCAGCAGAAUCUGGACAGGGACAGGUGAAUAUUCCAAAGAGUUUAUUGUUUAAAACCCUCAUCCCCCAGCCCCACCCAUGUCCCUGGGGGCACUGGACAGAGUUGCCUGGAAUUCAGCUGAUUCAACCCCCUGAGCAAGGGCUCCAGGUGAUGUUUUCAAGCAGGAGAAGGCAGGGGCUGGAGGCACUCCCGGCCCAUUCCAGGGCAGCCCAAUGCAGAAGUUCAGUUCCUUUCAGGGCCUCAGCAGUGACCUCUGCAAGUUCUUUUCCCUCAGGAAAGGGGUGCACAUCCCUGCCUUCAGCACACCCCCAGUGGGACCCACCUGCAAAAGCUUUCCAUCCCUUCUGCACUUCCAGCUGGCUCCCUGGAAAACUCUCACCUUCACCCAAACAAAACUUCAUCCCACCCACACCUUUGAUUUUCGGGCAUCUCUGCAGGCUGCUGCUUGGGAUUUAGUAUCUCUAACAGAAGAUUGCCUUGGCUUUAAUGCUGCUGCUGGGUGAUGGCCUCAGGCUGGAAGGGAAGGGAUUUGGGGUGGCCAGGACAUACCUGGCAGCUGCGUGGGAGCUCUGGAAAGUCAGAACCAGGAAUUGCUGCCUGAGCCCCUCUGCAGGCAGCCUGUGCUGCCAUCACCAGGGAAUUCCAGCUGUUCUUUGGGGUGUUCUUAGGGUGUCCCUGGCUUCUGUCCAGGCUGAAGCAUCUCCAGGUGCAUGUUCAGAGCAGCCCCUGGCCCAGCAGCCGCAGGCAGCCCUUGAGCUGUGUCCGUGCCAGCGCUGCCCGGGCACCCCAGCGCCCAUCCCUGGGGUGUGUUUGGCACAGGCAGGACACCGCAGAGCCCAAGGACAAGAGGUGCUGGUUGCCUUCCAGGGGCUCCCGGCCUCCUCCUACCCCACAUUCCCUGCCAGCUGAGACACACAAACACCAAGGAACAUUGCUGCCAGAGAGCAAGGGACACUGAGAGGCCUUUGUGCAGCUCUGGGCCACAAAAGCAGCCCCAGCUUCAGCAGCUACCAUCAUUUUAGCAACACUCACCUGCAGGAAAUGCCCCCUGCCACUCUCCAGGAGAAUUUUGGUCAUGCAGCAAGGACAGCCUCAGGACCUGUCCUGCUCAUUUCUUCCUGAAAAAAAAAAACCCAAAAACAUUGCAAGAGCAAAUUUACAACUGCUGGGUAUAUCCUGGAAGGGAGAGGAAAAUCAGGGUUAUGGGAAGAGUUUGGUGCUGUUGUGUUGGCUGCCAGCCAGUUCUACCUUACAGCCGUAGCAGGGGCUGGUGUGUAAAGCAGCUUCAGCAGAAAAGAAGGAGCUGCAGUUCCUUUGCUGGUGCUCAGGAUUCUCCUCCUUGCGAGGUGCAUACUUGUGACCCAGAGAUUGGUUUGGUCGAUUGGACCCCAAUAGAUCCUGUGAUCUGAAAAUAAAGAAGAAAACUCUCAGCUGAGUUUCAAUAAACGAGGUUUUGCCCUUA